UUCAGAUGGUGGCUAGGUCCUUUCCAGCUCAGAGGCAAAAAAAUAGUUUCAUUUUAAGGUCCAAAAAUGCUUUUCUUAGCCAAAAUAAAAGAGAAAGACAUUUGUGAGGCGGGGGGGACACUGCACAAUGGCAGACAGGAAGGAAAGACCCAUGGUAAAAAAAAAAAAUCACUUCAACUAAUUUGAAAGACCUGUGAAAAACUAUAGCACUUGCUGAAUGCUUAAGAGUGCCAGGGCUUCAUUUGGGUUUAAUUCUGACUUUCUGGCUGCUCCCUUUCCAGUGCCAAUUUAAGGUCUUGCACUGAUGACCAUAAUUGCAGGAUUUGAUAAUAUCUGUGGACCAGUGAUGGUGUUGUAGAGGCUCUUAGAAACUUUGUUGUACCAAAAAUAACAAGAAUGACCUGGGCAAAAUAUUUCUUAUUCUUAAAGACUGCCAUUGGUACACAUGAACAAGGCCACAGCUGGGGCUUUCAAUUGAAAAUUGACUGGAAGUGUGAAGGUUAGCUCUGUGAGUGGAAGCAUCUUGGUGGAGCGAAGCCAGACGGACUGCCACGGGACGUUCCCCACCAUUCCUAGGAGAAAGACCUCUGCAUUUCCACAGCAUGCUGUUUGAAUUGGCAGCUGGCUGUGCCCACACAAACCAAUCCACAGGGGUAUUCCAGCAUGUGCAUGAGAUAAAACCCCCACAGUGAAAGCCUGCCAGAAGGAGGAUGAUAAAAACCAUCUGUUCCCGCAAGUGUUCCUUCACUGAGUGUACUCAGCAACGACUCAGACAUUGCUCCUUUGAUGGGGUUUUGCUGAAGGAGCAGCAAGGAGGGAUUUUGUGUCUUGGUAGGGGAUGAAAUGUGAAAUUACACGUGUAAUCAUGUGUGAAAGGAGGUGGUGGGAGUGUGCAAAGCAGAGACAGAUCCUUCUCAGUGGUGUCCAGGCAAGGACAACGGGCAGCGGACACAAACUGAAACACAGGAAAUUUCACACAAGUGCAAAAACACCUGAACACCCAGCUGGGCAUGGGGACAGCUUCCCCAGAGAGGCUGUGGUGCCUCCAUCCAUGGAGAUCAUCGUUCAAAACCCACCUGAACAGGCCCCUGAUGGGACUAUGGGCUUGUGGAUGACAGCCUGAGAUUGCCACAUCCAGAGGUUCCUUCCAGCCCCAGCCACAUGCUGCCUCUCCGAAAUUUACAGGAUCCCAGGACCCUGUUUUAAAAGCUCUACACCUCUCUGAAAACAGCAGAAAUUGUGCUCUUUGCAACUCCCUUCUGAAUCCAUCUCUGGGGGCUCUUCAUGCUCAGUCAACAACUCUGCAACUGAGCUGUAGCCUCCAGUUCCUUUGUUUUUAAACAACUUGUCUUCAGAUUUCAGGUCUUUCAGAUUGCCUGAGUUGGUCACAGCACAGUGUGAGCCAUUCACUUAAGGACUGGACUUGCUGACCCUUCUGGGCCCCUUUCAGCUCCCAACUCAGAAUAUUCUGUGAUUCAGAGGUUAAAGUGGGGCAACACAGCAACUUUUUGUGUUGAAAAAGCCAACACAAGUACAUGGCACUGCACUUGAAUCACACUGUCACUACGAAGAAUUGGGACUGGCAAAUCACAGCCAUGCAGAUCCAUCCCUUCCUGUCCUUUAAAAUCAAAUUAACUCCCCCCUGCAGAACUUGAGAGGGAGGAGGAAUAAAUCUGGAUCUCCUUGCACUGUCCCAGCCCCAUCCCAUAUCCCUCGUCACCCUCCCCAGCACCUGCACUCUGAGCUGGGCUCAACACCGGGCACAGGAUGGGUGAGGGUUGUGUGGAUAUUCAGCUGGCAAAAGCAUUUCCAUGCCAUAAUCUCCAGGUCACACAGAAUGGAGGAUUUCCCUGAAAAUCCUGCUGCUGCCAGCACAGCUGCAGUGAGGACUGCUCCUGACUUAUGCAAUCAAAAGAGAAUUGAAAGAAAACUGGACCUGGCAAUGCAAGCAUGUGGCUGCCUACACCACCAAUACAACAUCCAGUCAGGGGUGAUUAAUAUUACACUGGCUGGCAAUUUUUUUAUUUAUUUUAUAUUUUUUUUUUUACAUUUAAAUGAAAGUUGAACAAUCCCCGUAAACCUUCUGACUAAGAAAUCAGAGGCCUUUUCAAGCAAAUUGUUACCACGCUGCUUUCUCCUCUUUGAAAGUCCAUAUGGACAGAUAAACUGAGAAUAGAAAAACCACAUCUGACUUAAAGCCCAACAUACAAAUUAUUACCACUGUGAUCAUCUCAUUUCCCCUGGACUAGCAUUAGGCCAUGAGCCAGGCUCUUUGAAAACUCUAAGACUGAACCAAGCUGGAGAAGAAACCAACUCUGAAGCACUGUGUGUCUGAAAUAGUAAAUAUAGGGUUAUAUAUAAAUCUUCACUCUGUAAGGUCUUGGGCACUCUUAAUGUUUAGAUUUUUCUGCGGCUUGAGGUCUGGAAUAAAAUCAAGUCCUCGUACUGUUGCACACAGAAGAGAUCGACGUCUCUUCCUUGUCCAUGCAAACAAGUGAAUUCAAUAAAGAAUGAGAAGGAAGGGGAAAAAAAUCACUUUCCUUGAGUUUAUUGGGAGAGCAAGCAGCACCACUCACAUCCUGGCACGGGGGCCACGUCCUGAGCAGCAGAAAAAAUGAGUUUUUCUUCUCCUGUGGCCUUCUCUUUCAUGGAAAGAAGGAAUUGAGAAAGGCCAAGCGCAAACAUUGGGCUGGAAGGUUCAUGUGGGGCAGGCAAGACGGAGCUGUUAUGAAGGAUGGGAUUAAGGGGCCCACAAAAAAAGGUGGAAGUGCACUCAGAUCAGAAGCUUCAAAUGCAGCAGCAUUCCCAAUACCACUGAGGGGUUGCAUUUAUAGCAGUGGAUCCUCUCCAGUUCAGAUGUGUCUCUGCAGAGGGCACGAGGUUGAAUUCUGGGGGUAUUCAAGAAGGUGGUGAAAAAUUCAGAGACCAAAUGGAGAUGGCACAAGAAGUUAAACAAAUGGAUUUAUUUCCCCUGAAAGGAACUGCAUAUCUCCCUAUCUGCUUCACUAUGAAUUUCUCUUCUGCCUGUUUCCAUUUUAAAUCCUUCAAGACAACAGAGGUCAAACUUUGGGCACUUCCAUAACAGAGGACCACACACAGAUGUAGAACUUCAUUAUCUGAUGAACUAUUAUCUUCCAACUUCUGUUUUGUUUUCAUUUUAUUUUGUUUUUCAGUAGUAGCCACGUGACAUCUGUCAUCAUCUUUGAGGGUGAAUGAGUCCUCCAGAGGCUGCUAUAUGAAAUAUGACCCAAAGUUAGGAUUUAUCAAGUAGAAAAGUCCUCAUCUCAUAAGGACUUCUGCACAGGCCAGAUCCAAGCAGACAUUUCUGUAACAUGUGGCCUCAAGAAGUAUAGGCAUUUUUUCCUAAACUGUCCUUAUAUAUAAAUAAAUUUUGCAAAAAAAAACCAAACCCAAACAAAAAAACAAACCCUAAAAAACUUUUAAAAAGACAAACAAAAAAAACUCAACAAAACAAAAACAAAAAAACCAACAAAAGUGAAUAUUCAGAUUUUAGCAGUGCAUGGAAUAUAUUUUUGUGGACAAAAAACAAAGGAGGAAAAAAAGAAUGCUAAAAACAAAUAAGGAGAAACAAAGUAAGUCAUAUCCUCACCCUCUGUUAGGUCCAAUUGCUGCAAGAAAAAUUGGUUGCUUGUUGCAGCUGAUUAUAACAUCUUGUGAACAUACUGCUGGCUUGUUUUGGCUGUGAGCCUAUGACUACAGAAUUCAGACCAGCUCCUCACAUCAGAUUCAAGGCUGCAAAGAAGGGAAGGGAAAAAAAACACAGCCAAAGAAUGAAGGUGAAGGGUUGUUAUCAUCCCUAACUGGUUUCUCUGGAGAUCAUUAGCUAGAAGAACUUUGUCCUUUUAUUCUCUUUCAAAUGGUCAUUUCAUUCAGAUAUUUUUUUCUUUCUUUUUUCCACCCUU